AUUGAACGCUGGCGGCAGGCCUAACACAUGCAAGUCGAGCGAGCGGCGGACGGGUGAGUAAUGUCUGGGAAACUGCCUGAUGGAGGGGGAUAACUACUGGAAACGGUAGCUAAUACCGCAUACCAUCAGAAGUGCCCAGAUGGGAUUAGCUAGUAGGUGGGGGAACCGCUCACCUAGGCGACAAACCCUAGCUGGUCUGAGAGGAUGACCAGCCACACUGCAACUGAUACACGGUCCAGUCGCCUACGGGAGGCAGCAGUGGUGAAUAUUGCACAAUGGGCGCAAGCCUGAUGCAGCCAUGCCUCGUGUGUGAAGAAGUCCUUCGGGUUUUAAAGCACUUUCAGCGGGGAGGCGUUACCCGCAGAAGAAGCACCGGCUAACUCCGUGCCAGCCGCCGCGGUAAUAC
rnacentral:rRNA from 1 species